AAGACCUUGCGCUUUUGGAGCGGCCGAUGCCUGAUUAGCUAGUUGGUGGGGUAAUGGCCUACCAAAGCUUCGAUCAGUAGCUGGUCUGAGAGGACGGCCAGCCACACUGGGACUGAGACACGGCCCAGACUCCUACGGGAGGCAGCAGUGGGGGAUUUUGGACAAUGGGCGCAAGCCUGAUCCAGCCAUGCCGCGUGAGUGAAGAAGGCCUUCGGGUUGUAAAGCUCUUUCAGCCGGGAAGAAAAGGUUGCGAUUAAUAAUCGCAAUUUAUGACGGUACCGGAAGAAGAAGCACCGGCUAACUACGUGCCAGCAGCCGCGGUAAUACGUAGGGUGCGAGCGUUAAUCGGAAUUACUGGGCGUAAAGGGUGCGCAGGCGGUUUUGUAAGUCAGAUGUGAAAUCCCCGGGCUUAACCUGGGAACU
rnacentral:rRNA from 1 species